UUGGCUCUGCGCGAUGCAUCCUGGGACACGUAGUUCACUCGGUCCUUAGAGACAGCCACUACAGAAGCCGAAAGACUCAGUUUCCCGGCAAGCUUCACGGUGGGGCUGUGACUGCGCGUGUUGCUUCUAGGGAAACGUAGUUCGGUAGCCUGCAUCACCAGCUGUCUCCAGUAGAGGUGAACUCAGUUUCCCAAGUGGCACCGCGGAGACCAGUGCGAAGGCGGGCUUUCCCGGCCUACCGUAAGGUUUGAACCGGGCGGCGGCAGUAGUUCGGUGUGAUGGCGCAAGUGUCGUGCGUCUGGAGAGGUCUCGACCAAGAUUCGAUCUGACGUUGUGGUCUUUCCUGGGCUGUGCCUUGGGUGCCCACAGUUGGGAGAGCAAGGGCACAAGAUGCCAGGGAGCCAGAGCUCUGCCGCAGGCUAUGAGUAGGAGCCUGAGAUGGUCUGAGCACCUCGAUGCGCUUCUCAAUGCUACUGACGGAAAUGUGGCCAGGAUUAAGGUGAGGGGGCGCCUGAGUCCCCCGCCCUCUGGUUUAGGGGCUGUGGGUUAAAGGACUGCAAGACAGAACUCAUUGGCCUGUGCAUUUGUUUCUUUGUAGCAAAGUCUGUAUCCCCUUGGAGUCUCCACCACGGGUAUUGUUCCUUUUUCUACCUAUCCCUCAGCCUUUUCUCCUUCCAGAAUCUGCCUUUUUCCAGUGCCUAUGCCGUCCACUAGUCCUUGCAAAUUCCAGCUUUUUAUUUUCCUGAACAAACAUUUCACCCCCCCACCCCCCCAAUAGGCUUUGCACUCGUCCCUUCCUUAUUCCCUCAGCAGGAGACCUGACUGGGACCUGGAUUUCCCCUCAUUACUUGCCUCCCCAGUCAGGAGUCCAAGCUCAACAGCCUUGGGCUCUAGAGACUCCCAUUGUCCCAGAGAGACUAAGUUGGGCUGAGGCCCGUAGUGCAUCUUCUCUCUGGGAUGAAUUUACUAUUCUUCGAUCCCAGCUUCGAUCCCAGGCUCAGGUGAGGCAUGGAAUCCUAGGUGAGUAUGUUUGGGGUUUGCGUGAGAUGAGGAUACCAGGGGUUGGGGGAGCCCCUUGCACAAUAGCUCGUGUGGUUUUUCUGCCUGAGUAGGUGACUGAAGCACUAAGGCAGGCUGUGCAGGGCCUGCUGGAAGAGCGAGAGCAGCAGAAGUACCAGAUCUCUGCCCUAGAAGCAUCACUAAGGUUGCUGCAGGGGGGCCCAGAGCAAAGGGUCCUUCUCCUGGAGCAACGCCUGGAGGGGCUGAGAAGGGAACUGCAGGGCCUUCGAAGCCAGGUACAGGAACAGGCGUGAGCCCAAAUACAAACAGGACCACAAAAGUGCAGUGCUACCAGUGGCCUUCACCAAGAGCUGCAGAAUGAGCUGCAACUGCUGUGGGAGGAGUCAGAGAUUCUUUGGGAGGAAUUGAAGUUGCUGCAGGACCAGCUGAGCCAGCACCAGGAGCUGCUGCUGAAACAGAUGACUGAGGGGCGGCAAGCUCAGGCCCACAGCUGGAAGAUCUCCAGAGGCAUACCCUUUCUAACCUGCAGCCCAGCAGCUUUCAGCUCCAGGCCCAGAGCCCUAUACUUUAAGGGCCCCAAGAUGCUCCUGAGUGACUGUAAGGACUUGUAAGAGCAGUAGGAUGAUGUCUUCUUUGCUCACCUUCCCCUCCAAGGUCCUGUUUCUGGAUCCCCUUCCCCUCCCCUCUUGAUCUAGCUGGUGUUUGCCCUCCCUACUGAGGUUUGUCACUGCCUGUCCAGCCUUACCCACAAGCAAUAAAAUGGUUUA